rnacentral:lncRNA from 1 species
UCGGGCUAUGGGCCUGGAAAUUAGUAGUGGCAUGACUCGAAGAUUAAAUGCAUGUUUAUGUUAGUGGUCCUAAGAUAUUGAGGAUUGAGGAGCCAAGAUGUGGCAUGGUAGUAUUAUAAUUGACACUUGAUAGUGGAGGAGACUGAGCGGCAAUGACUAUGAUGGAAGAAUAUCAAAGUAAGAACAUUCUCAUACUGACUAGGAUGGAGGAUUAAGAUCAUUAAUCGUACUGUCCCACUGACUUCAUUUAGCUAGAAAAAGGGCCCACUCCUUUUCGAGUUUCACACUGGAUUAACUGGAUAAUAGAGUACUAUAAAAUUUGGAAGCCAGAAUGUGUCAACUAUUAUCGAGCGUCCCCUAGUAGUUCUGGAGCCAAUCUUACUUCAACUGAAUGAGGUGGUAUGGAUUCAAGCCUCAGUUCGAUGCAAAUUGAUUAAGAAUCACUAGUAGUUCAAGCUUGACUGUGAAUA